rnacentral:rRNA from 1 species
GAUGAACGCUGGCGGCGUGCUUAACACAUGCAAGUCGAACGAGGCACCUUGAUUCGAUUCUUCGGAUGAAGGUCUUGCUGACUGAGUGGCGGUUGGGUGAGUAACGCGUGGGUAACCUGCCUCAUACUGGGGGAUAACAGCUAGAAAUGACUGCUAAUACCGCAUAAGAUCACAGCACCGCAUGUUGCAGGGGUGAAAACUUCGGUGGUAUGGGAUGGACCCGUGUCUGAUUAGUUAGUUGGUAGGGUAAAGGCCUACCAAGCCGACGAUCAGUAGCCGACCUGAGAGGAUGACCAGCCACAUUGGGACUGAGACACGGCCCAGACUCCUACGGGAGGCAGCAGUGGGGAAUAUUGGACAAUGGGGGAAAGCCUGAUCCAGCAACGCCGCGUGAGUGAUGAAGUAUUUCGGUAUGUAAAGCUCUAUCAGCAGGGAUGAAAAUGACAGUACCGGGCUAAUAAGCACCGGCUAAAUCCGUG